UGGGCAGAAUGCUAGGAAUGUAAUGGCUUGGGGGGAUAGGUGGUGAUCUUUAAACUGUCCCUUUCUUUUAUAUAUUGUCACCAUAGCCAGAGUUGUAAAAGCCUUCCACAUAUGUAUCCUGCUUGGCCACUGUCCUGCCUAGCUGCCUGACCUCCUAAAUGAGGUAGCAGGAGAUGUGGCUGCACAUGGUGACACUCUAUUUGCCACUUGGCUGCAGGGACCAUUUUACAGUAUGCUGGGAGAGCAGGGCUGGAUGAAUGAAACAUUCCUAAUCAUAAUCAGAAGCUGCAGGUAACACCAAGAGCUUGCUAAGGCCCAAGGGACUCAUUUAUACCUUUGAAGACACUUCAAACUAUGGAAUGAUUAAGCAAGCUGUUUUCAUCUACAUCAAGUCACUUUCAGCAGACCUCUAACUGUGAGCAAAGAAUUGUGAAGACUGUUCUAGAGAGAAAUCAACACAGUUCAACCAAGCCAGCUUGUAAAUGCACUUCUUUGCCCCUCUAUGAACCAGCAUCUUUCAGUUAAUGCAGCUUUCAAAAGUAGUGUAUAUAAAUCACAUAUUAUGAGUAACAGCACAUAAAAAGACAGAUUUGAUAACCCACA